AUUUCCCGCUCUCAUCUUUGUUUUCUCUCCCUUUUCCCGUUUUUCUCUCCACUGAUUCUCCACAGCUGGGUGAAGACCACGGUCGGCUUCAACCGGGCCAAUCGAGGGCGACGUCGCAGACCUUAUCAAAGACGUCUCCACAGCUAGGUGGAGACCACCUUCGCCGUCAACCGGGAUCAAAGACGUCUUCACAGGUGGGUGGAGACCACCAUCGGCGUGAACCGGGCCAACCUCCUCCAAGCCGACGUCUUGACCUCAUCAAAGAAGUCUCCCUCAAGGACCGCGAGCUCAGGAUUGUGGGCGAGGUCGGUGCCAAGAUCCGAGUCUUAGACUUCAUUUCUCCCGAUGUCCAGGUUCUAAAUUUAAUGGUUUAAAAACCCGAAUUGAAGACGUAGCUGGAAGAAGAAGAAGAGGGCGUGUAGUACUAAGGAAAAGAAAGCUGAGAAGGACACAAUUGUUUGUUACUCAAAAGGCGCUUGUAUCCUAAUUAUUUGGCGAGUUCUAUAUAAAGGGAAAAAAAUGAGCGAACGCGAUGGUCUUGAAGUUGUUCGAAAUCCAAAGAGGCCUAUCGGCGCUUGGAUACAUUACUAGUAAGGGAAAAUAGAAAUAUGUAAAAUAAUAUGUUUUUUAAUGUAUUUUUUGUGGUUGUUAUUGUUAAAUUUG